rnacentral:misc_RNA from 1 species
GAUGAAGAACGUAGCGAAAUGCGAUAAGUAAUGUGAAUUGCAGAAUUCAGUGAAUCAUCGAAUCUUUGAACGCACCUUGCGCCCGCCAGUAUUCUGGCGGGCAUGCCUGUCCGAGCGUCAUUUCAACCCUCGAACCCCUCCGGGGGGUCGGCGUUGGGGAUCGGCCCUUUACGGGGCCGGCCCCGAAAUACAGUGGCGGUCUCGCCGCAGCCUCUCCUGCGCAGUAGUUUGCACACUCGCAUCGGGAGCGCGGCGCGUCCACAGCCGUUAAACACCCCAAACUUCUGAAAUGUUGACCUCGGAUCAGGUAGGAAUACCCGCUGAACUUAAGCAUAUCAAUAAGCGGAGGA